GCAUAUCAAUAAGCGGAGGAAAAGAAACCAACUGGGAUUGCCUUAGUAACGGCGAGUGAAGCGGCAAUAGCUCAAAUUUGAAAGCUGGCCCCUUUGGGGUCCGCGUUGUAAUUUGUAGAGGAUGAUUCGGCGAGGGCUCCCGUCUAAGUCCCCUGGAACGGGGCGUCAUAGAGGGUGAGAAUCCCGUAUGUGAUGGGUUGCCUUAGCCAUGUGAAUCUCCUUCGACGAGUCGAGUUGUUUGGGAAUGCAGCUCUAAAUGGGAGGUAAAUUUCUUCUAAAGCUAAAUACCGGCCAGAGACCGAUAGCGCACAAGUAGAGUGAUCGAAAGAUGAAAAGCACUUUGGAAAGAGAGUUAAAAAGUACGUGAAAUUGUUGAAAGGGAAGCGCUUGCAGUCAGACUUGUCCGCAGUUGCUCAGCCGGUCUCUUGACCGGCGUACUCUUCUGCGGCCAGGCCAGCAUCAGUUCGGGCGGUCGGAUAAAGACCUCGGGAAUGUAGCUCCUCUAGGGGAGUGUUAUAGCCCGGGGUGGAAUGCGGCCAGCCUGGACUGAGGAUCUCGCUUCGGCUAGGAUGCUGGCGUAAUGGCUGUAAGCGGCCCGUCUUGAAACACGGACC
rnacentral:rRNA from 2 species